rnacentral:rRNA from 1 species
UACGUAGGCAGCAAGCGUUGUUCGGAGUUACUGGGCGUAAAGGGUGCGUAGGCGGCGCGGUAAGUCGGGUGUGAAAGUCUCGGGGCUUAACUCCGAAACUGCAUUCGAUACUGCCGUGCUUGAGGACUGGAGAGGAGACUGGAAUUUACGGUGUAGCGGUGAAAUGCGUAGAUAUCGUAAGGAAGACCAGUGGCGAAGGCGGCUCACUGGCCCGGUACUGACGCUGAGGUGCGAAAGCGUGGGGAGCAAACAGG